UGGGGAAUAUUGGACAAUGGGCGAAAGCCUGAUCCAGCCAUGCCGCGUGUGUGAAGAAGGUCUUCGGAUUGUAAAGCACUUUAAGUUGGGAGGAAGGGCAGUAAGCGAAUACCUUGCUGUUUUGACGUUACCGACAGAAUAAGCACCGGCUAACUCUGUGCCAGCAGCCGCGGUAAUACAGAGGGUGCAAGCGUUAAUCGGAAUUACUGGGCGUAAAGCGCGCGUAGGUGGUUCGUUAAGUUGAAUGUGAAAGCCCCGGGCUCAACCUGGGAAAGGCAUCCGAAACUGGCGAGCUAGAGUAGGGCAGAGGGUGGUGGAAUUUCCUGUGUAGCGGUGAAAUGCGUAGAUAUAGGAAGGAACACCAGUGGCGAAGGCGACCACCUGGGCUCAUACUGACACUGAGGUGCGAAAGCGUGGGGAGCAAACAGG
rnacentral:rRNA from 1 species